rnacentral:rRNA from 1 species
AAAUUGAAGAGUUUGAUCAUGGCUCAGAUUGAACGCUGGCGGCAGGCCUAACACAUGCAAGUCGAACGGUAACAGGAAGCAGCUUGCUGCUUCGCUGACGAGUGGCGGACGGGUGAGUAAUGUCUGGGAAACUGCCUGAUGGAGGGGGGUAACUACUGGAAACGGUGGCUAAUACCGCAUAACGUCGCAAGACCAAAGAGGGGGACCUUCGGGCCUCUUGCCAUCAGAUGUGCCCAGAUGGGAUUAGCUUGUUGGUGAGGUAACGGCUCACCAAGGCGACGAUCCCUAGCUGGUCUGAGAGGAUGACCAGCCACACUGGAACUGAGACACGGUCCAGACUCCUACGGGAGGCAGCAGUGGGGAAUAUUGCACAAUGGGCGCAAGCCUGAUGCAGCCAUGCCGCGUGUAUGAAGAAGGCCUUCGGGUUGUAAAGUACUUUCAGCGGGGAGGAAGGUGUUGCGGUUAAUAACCGCAGCAAUUGACGUUACCCGCAGAAGAAGCACCGGCUAACUCCGUGCCAGCAGCCGCGGUAAUACGGAGGGUGCAAGCGUUAAUCGGAAUUACUGGGCGUAAAGCGCACGCAGGCGGUCUG